rnacentral:tRNA from 1 species
GGGCGGUUAGCUCAGUCUGGGAGAGCGCCUGCCUUACAAGCAGGAUGUCACUGGUUCAAACCCAGUACCGCCCACCA